rnacentral:rRNA from 1 species
UACGAAGGGGGCUAGCGUUGUUCGGAAUUACUGGGCGUAAAGCGUGCGCAGGCGGCCAUUUAAGUCAGGGGUGAAAGCCUGGGGCUCAACCCCAGAACUGCCCUUGAGACUGGAUGGCUGGAGUGCGGGAGAGGUGAGUGGAAUUCCCAGUGUAGAGGUGAAAUUCGUAGAUAUUGGGAAGAACACCCGUGGCGAAGGCGGCUCACUGGCCCGUAAAUGACGUUCAGGCACGAUAGCGUGGGGAGCAAACAGG